rnacentral:lncRNA from 1 species
UCCUUAAAUUUUAUUACUCAUUGUUAUAACUUAUUUGAGACUUUAUGGAUGUGAUUUUAAUUUUUAUUAAGUGAUAAUGAAAUUUCAAGUAUUCUAGACUCUAUGUGGGCUUCCAAAGACGAGUUGAACAACCCAAGAAGUUAAUUUCAAGAAUUGGGGCGAUAUUCAAAAUUUGGAUAUUGCGUCAAUGCGCAAAGGGGAAAAAAUGAAAGAAUCAGUAUUGGCCUUGAGCUUCGUGGAAUCAAAAGAAGACAUACAUAAAACACUAUUUUCUGGUAUAGUUGAAGCUGAAAUGAAAAAAAUUAAUUAUAAUGUAAAGUUCGUCAUUGAAAAAUCAGGAGAGGUCGUUAAUAGAUAUUGUGAAUGUGCGGCAGGAAUAGGCCCACAUAGGACCUGUAAACAUGUAGUUUCUGCCCUCCUGAUAAUGGAAAAUGGUGUUUCUAAUGACAUUUUAUAUUUAUCAAAGUCCUCUACAGAGACACUACAUACUUUUAAAUGUCCCGGAAAAUUAUAUGGUAGAGAACCCGGAGUGGCUAAAAAAAAACUGUGCAGAGGAUUGUUGAAAAAUGUUAGAAUAUCCCCCUUUAACUGUACAAAAACUAAAUUUCAGCUGUCAACAAUGACGAUGAUCCUCAACCUGAGCGUUUCCUCAAUAGACAUGAAUUAGUUGAUGAGUUCUAAAUGACCAUGUAGAAUUCUCAAUUAAAUAUAAUAUGGAAAUAUAGCUUUGGCUCAGCAAGUCUGAAAAUAGCCAUCCUUGUUGACGAUUAUUUGGAAUAUCCCUUUACCCAUUAUUAGGUGAAGGACUGUAUCAAAGUAUCUGAUCAGGAUAUCAUAAAAAUUGAGAAGAAUACUGAUGUCAUGGGAGAGAAUUUACCAUUCUGGCAGAGUCAAUAUAUCAGCUCAACAAAAUUGUGUCUGCUGCUAUUUGUCAUGGGAAGGCGCAUGCGUUUUCUGGUAUAAAAAAGUUUAACCAUGUAAUUAAAAAAAUUGUUAACAAAUGUGGGCUUUUCAUUGAUGCAGAGUAACCCUUUUUGGCUUCAAUCUUCCGAUGCCCUUGUGGAAGAAGACUCAAUCAUCGAGGUGAAAUGUCCUUAUUCAGGAUGUUAUGAUAAAAUUGCUCUAGGAUCUAAAUUUCCAUUCUAGGAGAUUCUUGGCGGCGAUAUUAAGUUAAAAAUAAAUCACAAUUAUUACUACCAAAUUCAGGGUCAGCUACGAGCAAGAAGGAAUUCAAAAUGUUUUUUUGUAGGCUUCACAUUUGAAGAUACAUAUAUUGAGGAAAUUAUAUUAAGUAAUGAAUUCUUUAAUGAGGAUAUACUGACUCCUCUCAUCAAAUUUUAUAAUGAUUAUUAUGUAAAAUACAUAUCAAAUCAGCUAUGACUAAACAUUUGGUGUAUGUGGUAAUAGUUGUAUCAUUUUCUAAGUAGGGUCAUUUCAUCUCAAAGGUUGAGUAUUAUUUCACAAUUUCAUCGGAAGAGGUAAUCAAAAAGGAGAUACCUGGUCCUUUUUGUUAUGUUUACAUAUUCUUAUACAUUAUUUUCUGCUGCCAUAUGUUUAUAGUCCCUAUGAAUAAAUAUAUAAAUAUUUU